rnacentral:rRNA from 1 species
UACGUAGGGCGCAAGCGUUUGUCCGGAAUUAUUGGGCGUAAAGAGCUCGUAGGCGGCUUGUCACGUCGGGUGUGAAAGCCCGGGGCUUAACCCCGGGUCUGCAUUCGAUACGGGCUAGCUAGAGUGUGGUAGGGGAGAUCGGAAUUCCUGGUGUAGCGGUGAAAUGCGCAGAUAUCAGGAGGAACACCGGUGGCGAAGGCGGAUCUCUGGGCCAUUGACUGACGCUGAGGAGCGAAAGCGUGGGGAGCGAACAGG